rnacentral:rRNA from 1 species
AGACUAGGACGUUGAUAGGUUGGGUGUGGAAGCACGGUGACGUGUGAAGCUGACCAAUACUAAUUGCUCGUGAGGCUUGACUAUACAACACCCAAACAGUUG